CUACGGGCUGCUGCAGUGGGGAAUAUUGCACAAUGGACGAAAGUCUGAUGCAGCAACGCCGCGUGGAGGAUGACACAUUUCGGUGCGUAAACUCCUUUUAUAUAAGAAGAUAAUGACGGUACUAUAUGAAUAAGCACCGGCUAACUCCGUGCCAGCAGCCGCGGCAAUACGGAGGGUGCAAGCGUUACUCAGAAUCACUGGGCGUAAAGAGCGUGUAGGCGGGUUAAUAAGUUGGAAGUGAAAUCCUAUGGCUCAAUCAUAGAACUGCUUCCAAAACUGUUAACCUAGAAUAUGGGAGAGGUAGAUGGAAUUUCUGGUGUAGGGGUAAAAUCCGUAGAGAUCAGAAGGAAUACCGAUUGCGAAGGCGAUCUACUGGAACAUUAUUGACGCUGAGACGCGAAAGCGUGGGGAGCAAACAGGAUUAGAUACCCCGGUAGUC
rnacentral:rRNA from 1 species